rnacentral:rRNA from 1 species
GAUCAAAUCAAGCGCGAGAAGGGCGUUUGGUGAAUGCCUUGGCAGUAAGAGGCGAUGAAAGACGUGAUACUCUGCGAUAAGCCAUGAGGAGCUGAGAAUAAGCUUUGAUCCAUGGAUUUCUGAAUGGGGCAACCCACCUGAUACUCAGUUAUUUUUAGCCGCGAGGUUAUGGAUAAUUGGGUAAGACAGGUACUUGUUGACUGAAUACAUAGGUCUUCAAGAGCAAACCCGGGGAACUGAAACAUCUAAGUACCCGGAGGAAAGGACAGCAAUAGCGACUCCCCUAGUAGCGGCGAGCGAACGGGGAUCAGCCGAGCCUGAUGAGUGACCAGAAUGCGUUGGGAAGCGCAGCCAGAGCGGGUGACAGCCCCGUAUGGGAAGCUUUGAAGGACGUAUCAAGUAGGGCGGGACACGUGAAAUCCUGUCUGAAGAUCGGAGGACCACCUUCGAAGGCUAAGUACUCCUUACUGACCGAUAGCGAACCAGUACCGUGAGGGAAAGGUGAAAAGCACCCCGACGAGGGGAGUGAAACAGUACCUGAAACCGGACGCCUACAAUCAGUCGGAGCUUGACUGGACUCUUAUGACAAUCUGUCCCAGAGAUGUGGAGACGCAUAUCGGGGGCACACAUGAGCGAUCUCGCAUUCAUUACCGACGGGUCGGCCGCCGUGGCCGGUCUUGUGUUGGGGCUCAUCUCGAUGGGCACCGAGCAUUGCCCCGCAGAGGGGUGUCUUGCGAGGUCGGACGCAACACCGCGCACCGCGGUGUCGGCCGGCGCGGUCGUGUUCCAGGAGAACACCACCGGGACGGAGCUUUACGUGCGGCGCGAUACCGCGAUGCGGUUCGGGCCGUUCCGCCCGGUCUAUGGCCUGUCGCUCAGCGAUGACGGCGAGGCCUGGGUCGGCGCGGGGCUGAGCUACACGCUGCAGCCGCGGGACUGGAACUGGUAUGCCGAGUUCCACGUCAUGCCCGGGCUUUAUGCCGAAGGGGGCGGCGCCGAUCUCGGCGGGCCGGUCGAGUUCCGUUCGGGGCUGGAGCUGGGCUACGAGAGCGAUCGCGGAUGGCGCAUCGGUCUCGGCUUCGACCACCGCUCCAACGCGGGGAUCGAGAGCCGCAACCCCGGGCUCGAGACGGUGCAUCUGCGGCUCAGCGUGCCCACGGGGCGGCGCUAGGCGCUCAAAGGCCCUCAAGUGGCCGAACAGGCGGUAGGGCCAGGCGCGCUCAAGCAGCGAAGCGGUAGCGCACUCAAAUGCCCUCAAGUAGCCGAAUAGGCGGUAGGGCCAGAAAGAUUGUCAUUGGUGUCCAGUCUUGUGACGGCGUACCUUUUGUAUAAUGGGUCAUCGACUUGGUCUAUCCAGCAAGCUUAAGCCGUUAGGUGUAGGCGCAGCGAAAGCGAGUCUUAAUAGGGCGAAUGAGUUGGAUGGAUCAGACCCGAAACCGAGUGAUCUAGGCAUGACCAGGAUGAAGGUUGGGUAACACCAACUGGAGGUCCGAACCCACACCUGUUGAAAAAGGUCGGGAUGAGUUGUGCCUAGGGGUGAAAGGCCAAUCAAACUCGGAGAUAGCUGGUUCUCUGCGAAAUCUAUUUAGGUAGAGCGUCAUCCGAAUACCCCCGGGGGUAGAGCACUGGAUGGGUAAUGGGGCCCCACAGGCUUACUGAUCCUAACCAAACUCCGAAUACCGGGGAGUACUAGAUGGCAGACAGACGGCGGAUGCUAACGUCCGUCGUCGAGAGGGAAACAACCCUGACCUACAGCUAAGGCCCCCAAUUCAUGGCUAAGUGGGAAAGCAGGUGGGACGACCAAAACAACCAGGAGGUUGGCUUAGAAGCAGCCAUCCUUUAAAGAUAGCGUAACAGCUCACUGGUCUAAACAAGUUGUCCUGCGGCGAAGAUGUAACGGGGCUCAAGCCAUGAGCCGAAGCUUAGGAUGCCGUAAGGCAUGGUAGCAGAGCGUAGUGUGAUACAGUCUCAUUCCUCUUUUGCGGGCUCGCCCGCAUGGGAGGGGCGAGAUUUUCGAUGAAGCCGGGGCGUGAGCCAUCCGGUGGAGAGAUCACUAGUGAGAAUGAUGACAUGAGUAGCGACAAGGAGGGUGAGAGACCCUCCCGCCGAAAGUCCAAGGGUUCCUGCUUAAAGCUAAUCUGAGCAGGGUAAGCCGACCCCUAAGGCGAGGCCGAAAGGCGUAGUCGAUGGGAACCAGGUUAAUAUUCCUGGGCCAGAUGGAAGUGACGGAUCGCGGAGGUUGUUCGCCCUUAUCGGAUUGGGCGGGCCGCUGAGCGGUUCCUGGAAAUAGCUCCAUCAUGAGAUCGUACCCUAAACCGACACAGGUGGACUGGUAGAGCAUACCAAGGCGCUUGAGAGAACGAUGUUGAAGGAACUCGGCAAAAUACCUCCGUAAGUUCGCGAGAAGGAGGCCCGGGUUCAAGGCAACUUGGAUCCGGGGGCACAAACCAGGGGGUGGCGACUGUUUACUAAAAACACAGGGCUCUGCGAAGUCGCAAGACGACGUAUAGGGUCUGACGCCUGCCCGGUGCCUGAAGGUUAAAAGGAGAGGUGAGAGCCUUGAAUUGAAGCCCAGGUAAACGGCGGCCGUAACUAUAACGGUCCUAAGGUAGCGAAAUUCCUUGUCGGGUAAGUUCCGACCUGCACGAAUGGCGUAACGACUUCCCCGCUGUCUCCAACAUCGACUCAGCGAAAUUGAAUUGCCUGUCAAGAUGCAGGCUUCCCGCGGUCAGACGGAAAGACCCCGUGCACCUUUACUACAGCUUCGCACUGGCAUCAGGAUUGUGAUGUGCAGGAUAGGUGGUAGGCUUUGAACCCGUGACGCCAGUCGCGGUGGAGCCUCCCUUGAGAUACCACCCUUCGCACUCUUGAUGUCUAACCGCGGCCCGUUAUCCGGGUCCGGGACCCUGCGUGGCGGGUAGUUUGACUGGGGCGGUCGCCUCCUAAAGCGUAACGGAGGCGCGCGAAGGUUGGCUCAGAGCGGUCGGAAAUCGCUCGUUGAGUGCAAUGGCAUAAGCCAGCCUGACUGCGAGACUGACAAGUCGAGCAGAGACGAAAGUCGGCCAUAGUGAUCCGGUGGUCCCGAGUGGAAGGGCCAUCGCUCAACGGAUAAAAGGUACGCCGGGGAUAACAGGCUGAUACUGCCCAAGAGUCCAUAUCGACGGCAGUGUUUGGCACCUCGAUGUCGGCUCAUCUCAUCCUGGGGCUGGAGCAGGUCCCAAGGGUAUGGCUGUUCGCCAUUUAAAGAGGUACGUGAGCUGGGUUUAGAACGUCGUGAGACAGUUCGGUCCCUAUCUGCCGUGGGUGUAGGAUACUUGAGAGGAGUUGCCCCUAGUACGAGAGGACCGGGGUGAACGGACCACUGGUGGACCUGUUGUGGCGCCAGCCGCAGUGCAGGGUAGCUAUGUCCGGACAGGAUAACCGCUGAAGGCAUCUAAGCGGGAAGCCCCCCUCAAAACAAGGUAUCCCCGAGGGCCGUGGUAGACCACCACGUCGAUAGGCCGGAGAUGUAAGCGCAGCAAUGCGCUCAGUUGACCGGUACUAAUCGCCCGAUAGGCUUGAUUUGAUCCAG